rnacentral:rRNA from 1 species
UACAUGUGGGGCAAGCGUUGUUCGGAAUUACUGGGCAUAAAGGGUGCGUAGGCGGUUUGUUAAGUCACUGGUGAAAGUUUUCGGCCCAACCGGAAAAUUGCCUGUGAUACUGGCGAACUUGAGUGCGUGAGGGGUUGGGGGAACGAGCAGUGUAGCGGUGAAAUGCGCAGAUAUCGGGAGGAACACCUAUGGCGAAGGCAGCUCGCUGGGACGUUACUGACGCUGAGACGCGAAAGCGUGGGGAGCAAACAGG